CCUCAAACUCAUCGGCAACAAGACCAAAGACAUCAUUCGAUUCCUGCAGCAGCGGCUGAAGAAGGCAGUUCCCUACUACAGGAUGAAGCUUAUAGUGGUUGGGAAUGCCGGAAGCGGGAAGACCACUUUGAUCCAGCAGCUGAUGAAGCGCAAGCGCUCCAAGUUGAACUCAAAGCGGACCAAUGUUGGAAUUGAUGUACUGGACUGGACCAUCCGAGAA